rnacentral:lncRNA from 1 species
AAACGCCUAAACUUUAGCAUGACAUAGUAGGCCAUGAGCCCAUAGUUCCUUCCCUCAGAUUGUCAAGGAAACACUCUAGACUCCUUAUCAAGUUUGAUCCUUUAAAGAUAGGAAAGUUAAGAGGCUGCUUCUUGAAACUCAAUUCUGAUCCUCUUUUUUCCUUCUCAAUUACAGUCUCAGGUGGACAUGUUGAUAAUUUAAAUGAUGUUUAAUUUCUUCACUGAUUCCAACCUUUUAUUUCUUUUGACUUCUACUUAUCUCAACACAAUUCUACAUCCUAGAUUGCUAGAGUUAAUAGUAAGGUUGUCUGGGCAUUGUUAGCCAAGUAACAUAACUUAUUCAGAUCAACAAAAAAUGUGCUAUG